rnacentral:rRNA from 1 species
UACGUAGGGACCGAGCGUUGUUCGGAUUUACUGGGCGUAAAGGGCGCGUAGGCGGCCCUACAAGUCACUUGUGAAAUCUCCGGGCUUAACUCGGAACGGCCAAGUGAAACUGUAGAGCUAGAGUGUGGAAGGGGCAAUCGGAAUUCUUGGUGUAGCGGUGAAAUGCGUAGAUAUCAAGAGGAACACCUGAGGUGAAGACGGGUUGCUGGGCCAACACUGACGCUGAGGCGCGAAAGCCAGGGGAGCAAACGGG